rnacentral:rRNA from 1 species
UUAUGUGAUCGUCUCUCGCAUAUCAAUAAGCGGAGGAAAAGAAACUAACAAGGAUUCCCCUAGUAACGGCGAGUGAAGCGGGAAGAGCUCAAAUUUGAAAUCUUAAAGGGUUUCCCUUUACGAAUUGUAGUUUAAAGAAGUGUUUUCUGUUGAGGUUUUGGUAAAAGUUCUUUGGAAUAGGACAUCAUAGAGGGUGAGAAUCCCGUAUUUGACCUUUACUUUCAACUUUGUGAUACACUUUCAAAGAGUCGGAUUGUUUGGGAAUGCAGUCCAAAAUGGGUGGUAAAUUUCAUCUAAAGCUAAAUAUUGGCGAGAGACCGAUAGCGAACAAGUACCGUGAGGGAAAGAUGAAAAGAACUUUGAAAAGAGAGUUAAACAGUACGUGAAAUUGUCAAAAGGGAAGCGUUUGACACCAGGUGUUGUUUUUCUGAAAAUCAAUUAAAGAACUGUUUAUGCUAAGUUGUUUAGACUUUAUCAGCUAACUGUUUAGUUUUGAGCUUUUCUUUAAUGCACUUUUCAGUUAACAAGUCAACAUCAAUUUCUUUUGCUGUAAAAAAGCUUGAGGAAGGUGGCUUGAGAUUCGUCUUAAGUGUUUAUAGCCUCUUGCCUAUGCAGUCGGAGAGAUUGAGGUCUGCAGCGUAGAUCCUUCGGGGCUAAAUGCAUUUGUGCUAAGUUAUAGCAUUUUAUAGACAACUUGUUGACUAUGAUUUGUCUUGUAGCUUACUCGCUUAUGUUAUUUUACCUACGCUUAGGAUGUUGAAGACUCUACAGAGAUA